rnacentral:rRNA from 1 species
AUUGAACGCUGGCGGCAUGCCUUACACAUGCAAGUCGAACGGUAACAGGUCUUCGGACGCUGACGAGUGGCGAACGGGUGAGUAAUGCAUCGGAACGUGCCCAGUCGUGGGGGAUAACUGCUCGAAAGAGCAGCUAAUACCGCAUACGACCUGUGGGUGAAAGCGGGGGACCGUAAGGCCUCGCGCGAUUGGAGCGGCCGAUGUCAGAUUAGCUAGUUGGUGGGGUAAAGGCCUACCAAGGCAACGAUCUGUAGUUGGUCUGAGAGGACGACCAGCCACACUGGGACUGAGACACGGCCCAGACUCCUACGGGAGGCAGCAGUGGGGAAUUUUGGACAAUGGGCGCAAGCCUGAUCCAGCAAUGCCGCGUGCAGGAAGAAGGCCUUCGGGUUGUAAACUGCUUUUGUCAGGGAAGAAAUCUUCUGGGCUAAUACCCCGGGAGGAUGACGGUACCUGAAGAAUAAGCACCGGCUAACUACGUG